rnacentral:rRNA from 1 species
UACGGGGGGCGCAAGCGUUGUUCGGAUUUACUGGGCGUAAAGGGCGCGUAGGCGGCCAGCACAGGUCAGUUGUGAAAUCUCCGAGCUUGACUCGGAAAGGUCAACUGAUACUGUGCGGCUAGAGUGCGGAAGGGGCAACUGGAAUUCUUGGUGUAGCGGUGAAAUGCGUAGAUAUCAAGAGGAACACCUGCGGCGAAGGCGGGUUGCUGGGCCGACACUGACGCUGAGGCGCGAAAGCCAGGGGAGCGAACGGG